rnacentral:lncRNA from 1 species
AGAUGCAGCAGCGGCGGCAGCAGCCCUCCCAGGUCCCACUUCUUUGGCGUUCCUGCUGCCUGUGACUCAAGACAAUUGACUUCCACCUGAACCCUCAGCUCCGAACGCCUUGCAUUAGAAGCUAGAGCUUUGGAGGUUCUGAGGACGGUCCCUGGGGAGCAAGUGGUAGGUUUCGAGGCGCCCGCUUCCCCUCUGAUUCCUGCAGUAACUGAGAGAGAGUGUGCCAGAAAUGGCUUUGCUGCCGAAUGCAUUAUCUUGCCAUUUUCGUGUCCCAAUACUGAACAAACGAUCGCCUGAUCGAUCGAAAUAGGAGGGAAAGGUAGAGUGGAAAUUGAUUUCUUGCAGAGACUGAGGCGCUGAAUGAUAGAGGGAAUAAACAUUUGCCCUGGAUAAAAAUGUUCUUGGCUGUUGUCCAGCUCUAAUGAUGUCCUAGAGCAGAAGUGUUUCUUCUGAUGUCUCAUUUUAACAAGAGGAUGAUGUCUGUGUAUGUCUCUGUGUUUUAGAGAGGCUGGCAAAUGCUGCUAAGAGGAUCUGAGGUUCACAUAAAGAGGAUGAAAAUUCUGAAUUACUUUCAUUGCAAAUAAACCUUAACAAUUGUGAGAGUUAGAGAGCAUACUUUUCACAUAAGACUUUGGUAUGCUGCCUAAAGCUACUUACAUAAUUUGCUAUUCAGAGAAAUGCAUUUGUUUAUUGAGGACCCACCCGGACUUAAAUUGGAAAAAUGUAACAUUCAGAUUUUUAUUUUAUAUGUGAAAUAAAUGUGUGAUUGCUGUUCUUAAAAAUUUGAAAAAAAAAGGAUAACAAGAAUAUUAAUUUUGUGACCCAUAGUUCAUGAACUUUAAAAGUGUUUACAGCAUUUAAAGUUUAUUUAACAAUUUAAGUAUUUGAGCACUAUACUAAUUCAUAUGGUUACAUUUGAUCAACUCCUUCAUGAAG